rnacentral:rRNA from 1 species
CCUACGGGUGGCAGCAGUGAGGAAUAUUGGUCAAUGGACGAGAGUCUGAACCAGCCAAGCAGCGUGAAGGAUGACUGCCCUAUGGCUUGAAAACUUCUUUUAUAUGGGAAUAAAAUGUUCCAAGUGUGGGAUUCUGUAUGUACCAUAUGAAUAAGGAUCGGCUAACUCCGUGUCAGCAGCCGCGGUAAUACGGAGGAUUCGAUCGUUAUCCGGAUUUAUUGGGUUUAAAGGGAGCGUAGGUGGAUUAGUAAGUCAGUUGUGAAAGUUUUCGGCUCAACCGUAAAAUUGCAGUUGAAACUGGCAGUCUUGAGUACAGUAGAGGUGGGCGGAAUUCGUGGUGUAGCGGUGAAAUGCGUAGAUAUCGCGAAGAACUCCGGUUGCGAAGGCGGCUCACUGGACUGCAACUGACACUGAGGCUCGAAAGUGUGGGUAGCAAACAGGAUUAGAUACCCGAGUAGUC